rnacentral:rRNA from 1 species
UACGUAGGGUGCGAGCGUUGUCCGGAAUUAUUGGGCGUAAAGAGCUCGUAGGCGGUUUGUCGCGUCUAUCGUGAAAACUGGAGGCUCAACCUUCAGCUUGCGGUGGAUAUGGGCAGACUUGAGUUCGGUAGGGGAGACUGGAAUUCCUGGUGUAGCGGUGAAAUGCGCAGAUAUCAGGAGGAACACCGGUGGCGAAGGCGGGUCUCUGGGCCGAUACUGACGCUGAGGAGCGAAAGCGUGGGGAGCGAACAGG